rnacentral:rRNA from 1 species
CGCCCGGUUACAUUUCGAACCCGGAAGCUAAGCCUUUCAGCGCCGAUGGUACUGCAGAGGGGACUCUGUGGGAGAGUAGGACGCCGCCGAAC